CUGACCUUUUCCAAUCUCAUAGCUGCUGAUGAGUUUUCCAAAUCUGAUGACAUAUGAACUCAGUGCCCCAGUUUAACAGCAUCAUUAACAGUUUAGCAGUUUCAUGUUAAUGAAUGCUCACAGUUUUUGCCUAAACCAUUUGCUUUCUCCUUCAUAUCUGAAUGAGAUCCUUUUUGGCUUUAGGUCUGGCUCAUUCAUCAUUUUGUGAAUGUUCUACCAUCCUCUACUGGCCUGAAGAGUUUCUAUUGAAAAACCAACUGCUAUCCGGGGAUCCAAAUAUUGCCGUGGCCUGGGUCUGCUUUCUGUAGGCUGGAGGGUUAUGGAUCCAUCAGCUGUGGAACCUGAUCUUUGUGUGUGGCACUGGACCGUUGCAGCACUAUGAUAAUGCAAAUUUUGAAUGAGGUUAUCCCCAAAUUUGGUAAAAAUGAAAGAAGAGUUGGGAAUAAAAAUGUCUCUACACUAUCUUCAUUAGUCUGAGAUUAUAAGAAGCAUUGUAAGCCAGAAGUAAUGUGGAUGAUCAUAACUCUGACUUUCAUCUUGAAAUUAGAGGAGAGGACGUAUUUUCAGCCUGCAGAAGUUUAGGUAUGCCAUUCCUACGAAAGCCUUCUACCAUCCAGAUAGUUGCUGAUACAAUUGCUCCAACUCAAAAUGUUUUCUCUUCUCCAUCAUCAAAAUCAGUUAGACCACAGAAGCAUAUUGUGAUACAUCAACCUGCAACUGUUGUUGUUGUUUUUAAUUGAAGGAUGAUUGCUUUACAGAAUUCUGUUGUAUUCUGUCAGACCUCAAAAUGAAUCAACCAUAGAUAUACAUAUAUUUCCUCCCCUUUGAAACUCCCUCCCAUCUCCCUCCCUAUCCCACACUCUAGGUUGAGCAUUUUUCAUGGGACUUCAUAUAGCAGCUACACUAAAUCAAAUGGCCCAAAUGAGAAUUUUGCAGCUAUGUCUACAUCUGUUUCUCAGUACCACAUCUUAUCUCCAUUACAGAACAGUAAUUUUGGACUGAGGGUGGAGACUUCUCACUUUCCAGAUUUGUACGGUAAUAUGGCAGCCCAUGACAGUGCUUUUCCCAAACUACAACACGCAGGCAAUUCAUGUUUCCCAGUGCCAAAGAUCCCUGAUACAUCUGCUGCCUCUCUUUCAAGGUCAACUCAUCAACCAUCUUCAUUAUUUGAAAAUCAUCCUAAUACAACUGAUCUACCAAACAGGUGUCAGAUUAUGCAGGAUAAUGAAGAUUAGAAUUAAUGUUGGGAGAGAUCAACAAAUUCCUACAAUUCUCUUAUUUGAAGAAUAAAGUGACAUGUUCAUCUUCAUAGUGUCAAUUUCUAUUUUGAAAUAAUUGAGAGUAAAAUGAGAGUAUUAUUUCAGCACCUGGCUAUUGUACUGUGCUUUAGUAUAAACUCUUCUAUUCAAGGAAUCAUGCAAUAUGCAUCCUAUGUAAAUUACACCUAAUGAAUUGUUUAAAAAAUAUAAAAUUAGAACAAAGUGAAAAGAUGAAAUGUAAAUAAAAUGAUUUUGAAAUCAUCCAGGCUGAAUUGACUGGGUGUCUAAGUUAGGAUGGUAUGGGAGAAGGAACAGAUACAAAUAAAAUUUAGAAAAAGCAAAUGAAGAGUAUGUAGUUUGCUGCUUCCUCAGUUUUAUUAUAUCAUGUCAGUUAUCAGGAGGAAAGCUAAGAGGUUAGACAGCAGGUUGUCUUCAUUAAACAAAAAUUUGUUUCAUACUUGAAAAUACUGAGAUGUUCUCAGUAACCAUGACCACCAUCAUACCAUCACUGGAAUACCAACAAUAACAUGACAUAGUCAAAGAUUGCACCACAGUCAGCAAAAGAUAGGUAUUUUACCAGCGAGAUUAUAAAGGGUCAUUUUUGUUCUGCUCUCCUUAUAUAAUGUCUUCAUUUCAGCCCACCAAGACACCACCCUAUAUUUCCUAAUGUAUAUUUUGAUGUUGCUUUCCUGUCCCUAAAAGAAAGACUUAAAUCCUUGUGGUGAAUGCAGCAUCUCAUCAUGGUUAACCAGUUCUUGGAAGACAUGGCAUCUGUUUCCCUUAGUAGCUUCAUUAUCUAUCUGUUUCACUGAAUUUCUAGAGCUACAAUCAGGCUAAAUAUUUUCAGUCAUGCUAAGCCACAUUUCACAAUGUUUCUUAAACUCUUGUAUGGAAUUGGAAAGAACCUGUUUGCCUACCUACCAAGUUAUUCACAUGUAUCAGAUUCUUCUAUGUAUCGUGUCUACCCAAGUUUCCUUAUGUAUCUUGCACAUCAGUUAAGACUUAGUGCCUGCCAAAUGAUGUAUUUUACAUACUUACUGAAUUAGCAAUAAAGAGAUGUAAUAACCAA